GCCGAAUAUCGCGAUACGCGAGAUAUUCGACAAUAUUGAAGCAAAAACAUCUAUUCCAAGCAUGGCGAGAAUUGCGAUCCCGGCAAAUUACGCCAUCCGAGUUUAUUAUCAAAGCGGCAGCUUUAAAGGGUAAUGUUGACCAUUUGAUAGAUCAGGAAUUCGACGGACGGGCGAACACUUUAGGCUUCGACCUCGAGGAACCCCCAGUGGCAGAGUCCUUAGAACAAGAUCCGGGCCGCGAUAGAGAAAUAUUGGAGGGUCACCCACCGGACUGGCUACUCGACAAUGUCGAGAUCCCGU